GUGCACAGCUUCCCAUCAGAAAUAACUGGAAACAAACGCUCCCGUGUGAGAUCACCAGCCCUGGGGAUUAACACCAAUCCAAGCCCCAGUGGUAAGAAGUUCCGCAGCAAACCCCAGCUGGCUCGCUACCUGGGCAGCUCCAUGGACCUGAGCACUUUUGACUUCCGCACGGGGAAAAUGCUGAUGAGUAAAAUGAACAAAAACAGGCAGAGGAUGCGCUACGACUGUUCCAACCAAGCCAAAGGCAAGCCUGAUUUGAACACGGCGCUGCCUGUCAGACAGACUGCCUCCAUCUUCAAGCAGCCUGUCACAAAGAUCACAAACCAUCCCAGCAAUAAGGUGAAGAGUGAUCCACAGAAAGCUGUGGACCAACCCCGGCAGCUCUUCUGGGAGAAGAAAUUAAGCGGGCUGAACGCUUUUGACAUCGCAGAGGAGCUGGUGAAAACAAUGGACCUUCCAAAAGGUUUACAAGGGGUCGGACCUGGUUGCACUGAUGAAACCCUUCUGUCUGCCAUAGCCAGUGCCCUGCACACCAGCACCAUGCCCAUCACUGGGCAGCUGUCUGCAGCCGUGGAGAAGAAUCCUGGCGUGUGGCUCAACACCUCUCAGCCUCUUUGCAAAGCGUUUAUGGUGACUGAUGAAGAUAUUAGGAAGCAAGAGGAGCUGGUGCAGCAGGUGCGGAAGAGGCUGGAGGAAGCUCUGAUGGCUGACAUGCUGGCCCAUGUGGAGGAGAUAGCAAGAGAUGGGGAAGCUCCUACAGAGAAAGAAGGAGGUGAGGAAGAAGGAGAAGAUGAGGAGGAAGAAGAGGAACAGGAUCAUGACCAGGAAAUGGAGAAUGUAUAGUCCAGGUAAUGUGACAGCCUCCUUUCUCACCGUAACUUAUUGAGUAGUGCUUCACUGAAGGCAGGAGUGUUUUCCAAGGGAACCCUGGCAAAUAUUGACCAAUCCUUGCUUCUAAGCACACACUUUCACAGCGUGCUUUUCAUGCAGAAAUCAAAUAUGUUGUUGACUGUGAUAUCUGCUGAGUGUUUGCAUUGUCAUGAAGUGUUCUGGGCCUUAAGUUUGCAUCAGAUGGAAUGGCUGAAUGUGUAACCAGAACUCUGAAUGGUAACACGUGGAGGAUUUGAUAAUGAAAAUGGAUCAGUUCUUAAAAAUUUAUGCCUUGUGGUGUCAUUUUUCCCCCCCAGUUUAUUUAUUAUGACCUAUGAUAGGCAGGAGGAUCCUGCAGGGAGGCAGGACAGCUGAUGUCUUAUGGGCUCUUUUUGCUUUUUCAGCAAGCAUUUUACUUGCAGAACAUAUUAGAGGGCACAUUUCUGGAAACUGGAAAUAUUUUUAGAAAUCAUAAAAGGGCAACCUGACUAGCAGAAGAGGGAAGUUGCUAAAAUACUUUGUGGCAGGAAUUUGGAAACUGAAAGCAACAGAAGAACGUACGUGUUCAGAAUCUGAGAAGAACUGAGUUGUUUAAUGCUGCCAACUGCAGGGUUCACAGAGAUGUGCCUUUAACACUGAGCAGCCUUUAAAGUUAUCAUCAGGAGCUGCUGCUUGCGUUCAAGUUUGUCUGACUUUCACUUGUACAGUGGGACUUUUUAAAGGUGCAGGUGGAAUUUUUUUAUUGUCUUGUAACCCAAAGUAGCUCUCAGUAAUAAAUUUGUACUGUGUAGGAAUGCAGAGGGGUAGGGGGGGGGAAGGCACCUCAUGCAGUGAGAUGAAAACAGAACUCACUGGUUUUAAUGUUUGGUCAUUUUAGCCUGAGAAAGCAGUGAGCUUUCUGUCUCUGAGAUAGGACAGCCAAUAGCCUGGGUGCUGCAUUGUGCAGAUUCCAGUGGUGUGAGCCUGUCAGGCAGGAAUCAAGAAUGUGGAGGAAGAAAGGAUCUUUAGGAUGAAGAGCAGAAGAAAAGAAAAAGCCCUUUGGAGGGAGUGGCAGCUGCAUUUCAGCACGAGGGAGAAUGAAGAACGAUUUACGUGAAGCUGGAAGGGAGUUCCACGUAAGAAUUCCCAGUACAAACCCUGCCAGCAGGGUCAGCACAACUAUUUACAAAGCCAAGAGUGUCUGCAGAGUAACUUGCACCACCAGUCCAGCUGCAACUAUGAGCAUUUUGAUGUACACUUCAGGAAAGCCAAGAAGCUGAUGGUUCAUUCAUUGCUGGGUAGUUUGGAAGAUGGAACUUGACUAAGCUCUACUCCCCCUCCUUUUUGUAAAGGGGGAGGGCAACGGGGGGAAAAAACAAAAGUGGGAGGGAAUAAAGGAAUGCAAAACAGUGGGAGGGAAUGUAUUAGGAACCAAACUCCCUGUCCUUUUUAGUUUUGGUUUUGUGGGUCAGCGAUAGGUGCUACGUUUUUCAAGCUUUUCUAUCCAAGUACCUUUAAGGAUGACCCAUAGAAACCAUUUUCUCUCUGAUGCAAGCGAGAGAGAGAUGCCGUUUCACUCCUUGGCUGCUCUGCUGUGGGCUACCUGUCUGUACGGAGGUCAUUUUAUGUUGUGGAUUGUCAUUCCAUGUGUCAAUUCAGGUCAGUGAAUUUCAUUUUCCUCACAAGACCACAUUGGUCUUGGCAGCGUAGUCUCAGAGAUGAACUACCAGUGCCUCUUCCACCUGAGGUUUUGAUGAGUAGGGGAAGUUACACAUGAGGAACUGGUCAAUGGCAAUCUGGUUUUUUAGUGAGUUCAGACAUCAUACCAAAUGCACUACAGUGCACGUUUUUAUAUGGAGUUCUGUGUAUGCUCAGGCAUAGCAGAACAGAUAAAGAGAAAUAUACCAGCUCAGUGGUAUAUUUUGCUUUGGUUUAUUCUGGUCAGAAGGACCUUCUCAACUCAGAAUGGGAGGAUUACUCAUUUCUGACUGACAAUGAGGAAGACUUCCUCUUUUCUCUUUUGGUGCCAAGAACCCUCACCUCUGUUUCUGUGUGUGUGGAGGGAAGGGAAUCCAUUCCAAUAGGUGUUUCUACACAUCUGCUUUUCAUGUGCAGUAAUGUUCUGACCUCUUUUAAAAACAAGGCAAAAGGUUGAUUUUUUUCUAUAAUUGUUACCUUAAAGAAAAGAAAAAAAGGAUUUAAGCUUUUUAUUAAGUAUUAAACCUUUCUUAUUUGCAUGUGCAGUGAAGUGACCAGCAUUUUGUGUCCAAAAAAUGAAAUGAUGUGAAACCUGCCUUAAUGUGUUUAUAAGUAUUUGGCUUCACCGUGGGUACCUUGAUUGAUUCCUCAGUCUCUUCUAGUACAACUGUGAGCAUUUUGGGGUAACUUGGGGCUAAAAAGGGCUUUAUCUGGGGAGGGAGGAUAGGGAGAGGGGAAGGAAGAGGAGUGUAUAGCUUGGAGAAUACAUUGACUAGGUUGCAGAAGUUAUUUUAGUCUUAGGGUAUCCACUGCAUAAUGAAUGCGUGGAUGUUUCAGCUGAGAGUAACAGUAUAAAGUGGUGGAUUAAAUAUUGUGCCACUAACCACUUGUACAAGUCGUUGGUAUCCCAAAACUUGGGGAAGAAAGUAGCUCCCAGAGCCUUUAUUGUGUGAGAAUGGUUAGCAGUCAGAGCGAGGGACCUUUGGGAGUAGUUUGCUUUAGUGACGGCCGUAGGGUUUUAAAGCUCCUUGAAAAAGAUCCCAUGCCAAAGUGACUGAUACUGUAUUAACUUUUCUUAAAGAUGUGAAAAUACAAAAUCCUUUUGAUAUUGCUCAUUUGGAGUACUGCAAGAAGACUGAAACUGUACUUUGCUGCUGCUGUACCAGGUAUUGCGUUGGGGGUCUUUACCUUCUACUGCAGCCAGUGAGGAUGAUUUUCCUUUUUAAACAGUCUGUUACGGUUAUUAUUCUGUAAAACUGUCCUCUUGUAAUUCAUUGUGUUGAAUUAAAUGUUUCUCACAAAGUGGAGACUCUCCUCUUUUCCCUCGAGCCCCUGCUUGGAGUUUGUGUGCUGCAUUCCAUCUGCGUGGACAGGGAGAUGUUCACAUCUUUGUGGUGGGCUUUGCUCUGAGGUUUGGAUCUCAGUGUUUGAGAUCCAUAAGAGGAGGAUAAGAGGGGCAUUGUGGAAAGCUGCUGCUGAGUCCUGCAUCCUCACCGAGUGGCUGCUGAGAUGUGCUGUGCUUUGGGCUGGAAUUGAGCUCUAGGAGUCUAUAGCCCACCAUGGAGGGGUUCUUACGACAGUGGUGACCAGAUGCUAUUUUUGAUGUUUGUUUUUUUUGUAAACUUUUGAUAUCUAGUGAUGCCUCUGCUUACUUCUAUUUAAAUGGAAAUACAUGUUAAGCCUACAUAGAGACCUUACAGAGAGAGUGGUGAGGUG